UUAAGCGACUAAGCGUACACGGUGGAUGCCCUGGCAGUCAGAGGCGAUGAAGGACGUGCUAAUCUGCGAUAAGCGUCGGUAAGGUGAUAUGAACCGUUAUAACCGGCGAUUUCCGAAUGGGGAAACCCAGUGUGAUUCGUCACACUAUCAUUAACUGAAUCCAUAGGUUAAUGAGGCGAACCGGGGGAACUGAAACAUCUAAGUACCCCGAGGAAAAGAAAUCAACCGAGAUUCCCCCAGUAGCGGCGAGCGAACGGGGAGGAGCCCAGAGCCUGAAUCAGUGUGUGUGUUAGUGGAAGCGUCUGGAAAGGCGCGCGAUACAGGGUGACAGCCCCGUACACAAAAAUGCACAUGCUGUGAGCUCGAUGAGUAGGGCGGGACACGUGGUAUCCUGUCUGAAUAUGGGGGGACCAUCCUCCAAGGCUAAAUACUCCUGACUGACCGAUAGUGAACCAGUACCGUGAGGGAAAGGCGAAAAGAACCCCGGCGAGGGGAGUGAAAAAGAACCUGAAACCGUGUACGUACAAGCAGUGGGAGCCUCUUUAUGGGGUGACUGCGUACCUUUUGUAUAAUGGGUCAGCGACUUAUAUUCUGUAGCAAGGUUAACCGAAUAGGGGAGCCGAAGGGAAACCGAGUCUUAACUGGGCGUUAAGUUGCAGGGUAUAGACCCGAAACCCGGUGAUCUAGCCAUGGGCAGGUUGAAGGUUGGGUAACACUAACUGGAGGACCGAACCGACUAAUGUUGAAAAAUUAGCGGAUGACUUGUGGCUGGGGGUGAAAGGCCAAUCAAACCGGGAGAUAGCUGGUUCUCCCCGAAAGCUAUUUAGGUAGCGCCUCGUGAAUUCAUCUCCGGGGGUAGAGCACUGUUUCGGCAAGGGGGUCAUCCCGACUUACCAACCCGAUGCAAACUGCGAAUACCGGAGAAUGUUAUCACGGGAGACACACGGCGGGUGCUAACGUCCGUCGUGAAGAGGGAAACAACCCAGACCGCCAGCUAAGGUCCCAAAGUCAUGGUUAAGUGGGAAACGAUGUGGGAAGGCCCAGACAGCCAGGAUGUUGGCUUAGAAGCAGCCAUCAUUUAAAGAAAGCGUAAUAGCUCACUGGUCGAGUCGGCCUGCGCGGAAGAUGUAACGGGGCUAAACCAUGCACCGAAGCUGCGGCAGCGACACUAUGUGUUGUUGGGUAGGGGAGCGUUCUGUAAGCCUGCGAAGGUGUACUGUGAGGUAUGCUGGAGGUAUCAGAAGUGCGAAUGCUGACAUAAGUAACGAUAAAGCGGGUGAAAAGCCCGCUCGCCGGAAGACCAAGGGUUCCUGUCCAACGUUAAUCGGGGCAGGGUGAGUCGACCCCUAAGGCGAGGCCGAAAGGCGUAGUCGAUGGGAAACAGGUUAAUAUUCCUGUACUUGGUGUUACUGCGAAGGGGGGACGGAGAAGGCUAUGUUGGCCGGGCGACGGUUGUCCCGGUUUAAGCGUGUAGGCUGGUUUUCCAGGCAAAUCCGGAAAAUCAAGGCUGAGGCGUGAUGACGAGGCACUACGGUGCUGAAGCAACAAAUGCCCUGCUUCCAGGAAAAGCCUCUAAGCAUCAGGUAACAUCAAAUCGUACCCCAAACCGACACAGGUGGUCAGGUAGAGAAUACCAAGGCGCUUGAGAGAACUCGGGUGAAGGAACUAGGCAAAAUGGUGCCGUAACUUCGGGAGAAGGCACGCUGAUACGUAGGUGAAGUCCCUCGCGGAUGGAGCUGAAAUCAGUCGAAGAUACCAGCUGGCUGCAACUGUUUAUUAAAAACACAGCACUGUGCAAACACGAAAGUGGACGUAUACGGUGUGACGCCUGCCCGGUGCCGGAAGGUUAAUUGAUGGGGUUAGCGGUAACGCGAAGCUCUUGAUCGAAGCCCCGGUAAACGGCGGCCGUAACUAUAACGGUCCUAAGGUAGCGAAAUUCCUUGUCGGGUAAGUUCCGACCUGCACGAAUGGCGUAAUGAUGGCCAGGCUGUCUCCACCCGAGACUCAGUGAAAUUGAACUCGCUGUGAAGAUGCAGUGUACCCGCGGCAAGACGGAAAGACCCCGUGAACCUUUACUAUAGCUUGACACUGAACAUUGAGCCUUGAUGUGUAGGAUAGGUGGGAGGCUUUGAAGUGUGGACGCCAGUCUGCAUGGAGCCGACCUUGAAAUACCACCCUUUAAUGUUUGAUGUUCUAACGUUGGCCCCUGAUCGGGGUUGCGGACAGUGUCUGGUGGGUAGUUUGACUGGGGCGGUCUCCUCCUAAAGAGUAACGGAGGAGCACGAAGGUUGGCUAAUCCUGGUCGGACAUCAGGAGGUUAGUGCAAUGGCAUAAGCCAGCUUGACUGCGAGCGUGACGGCGCGAGCAGGUGCGAAAGCAGGUCAUAGUGAUCCGGUGGUUCUGAAUGGAAGGGCCAUCGCUCAACGGAUAAAAGGUACUCCGGGGAUAACAGGCUGAUACCGCCCAAGAGUUCAUAUCGACGGCGGUGUUUGGCACCUCGAUGUCGGCUCAUCACAUCCUGGGGCUGAAGUAGGUCCCAAGGGUAUGGCUGUUCGCCAUUUAAAGUGGUACGCGAGCUGGGUUUAGAACGUCGUGAGACAGUUCGGUCCCUAUCUGCCGUGGGCGCUGGAGAACUGAGGGGGGCUGCUCCUAGUACGAGAGGACCGGAGUGGACGCAUCACUGGUGUUCGGGUUGUCAUGCCAAUGGCACUGCCCGGUAGCUAAAUGCGGAAGAGAUAAGUGCUGAAAGCAUCUAAGCACGAAACUUGCCCCGAGAUGAGUUCUCCCUGACUCCUUGAGAGUCCUGAAGGAACGUUGAAGACGACGACGUUGAUAGGCCGGGUGUGUAAGCGCAGCGAUGCGUUGAGCUAACCGGUACUAAUGAACCGUGAGGCUUAACCUU
rnacentral:rRNA from 1 species